rnacentral:pre_miRNA from 1 species
AAUUUUGAAACUCCGCGGCAGUAACUGCCGAAGUUUUCCUCGGUAGUUAACUGCAAAAGUUUCCU